AUUUCUUUUCUUCUCUUUUUGUUGUGUGUGUGUGUGUGUGUGCUGGUGAUAUAUACAGCUGAAGGGCCUCCAUUAUGUAUGCUCGUCUCUUUCCUCUACUAAGGUAUUUACUUCGGUUCUUCCCUCUCUUUCUUUCGACAACUUCUUGGAAUCCUCGUAGAUUGUCUUCUUUGGCCUAGGAUUUUGACUCCCUCUAACUUGGUCC
rnacentral:lncRNA from 1 species